rnacentral:rRNA from 1 species
CCUACGGGCGGCAGCAGUGAGGAAUAUUGGUCAAUGGGCGGAAGCCUGAACCAGCCAAGCAGCGUGCAGGAUGACGGUCCUACGGGUUGUAAACUGCUUUUAUACGGGAAUAAAGCCCCUUACGUGUAGGGCUUUGCAUGUACCGUACGAACAAGGACCGGCUAAUUUCGUGCCAGCAGACGCGGUAAUACGGAGGGUCCGGGCGUUAUCCGGAUUUAUUGGGGUUAAAGGGAGCGUAGGCCGCAUGUCAAGCGUGCUGUGAAAUGGCCGGGCUCAACCCGGGCCUUGCAGCGCAAACUGGCAUACUUGAGUCGGCGGAAGGCAAGCGGAAUUCGUCGUGUAGCAGUGAAAUGCUUAGAUAUGGCGAAGAACCCCGAUUGCGAAGGCAGCUUGCUGCAGCGGAACUGACGCUGAGGCUCGAAAGCGCGGGUAUCGAACAGGAUUAGAUACCCGAGUAGUC